CAGAUUGAGGCAGAGUUUGGAUCAAUACCCAGAGUGAUGCUCAGCACCUGGAAUAUAUUACCAUUCAGGGAAGACCAUGUAGCUAACAAUGAAGAAAGGGAACGUGGCUCUGAAAAUGAUGACUAAAAAUCCAUUUGACUGAACAUCACACAAACCAGAGGACUUAGACUGUGUUUAAGAAGCUAGCCAAGACUGGUUGGAUUGAACUUCUCCAGACAAGGUCAUUAAUGCUGGUUUGGCCUUAUUAAAGGCCACAAUAGGGAACUACAGAACAUUCCCAAGCUGUUUCAUCAUCUAUCAUCUGCUAACUUAUAAGGAGAAAUAAAUUGGCAAAGGAGCAUCCUGCCUAAGCCUGUUCUAUAAUUUUAUACCUCUCUAUUGUAUAUUCACUAAAAGAGUCCACUAGGCUGGGUUCCUGAGUCUGUUUUUCACAUUUGUUCGCGGGUAUCAGGAAACCUUCUCUGUAUUUUGUUCUUAGUGAAUGCCAUUGAAUGGUAUCAGAGACAGUAAAAAAAGCAUCACUUUAUACCUGUGUAAGAAGAGAGCCUUUGGACACUGUCUGUAUGGGGUGGCUGUACAGAUCAGCAGCUUUCUCUGGGUGUCAGCAGCUUGCACAUGUCUACAUUUCAGUGCUUUUGUCUGCAUCCAUGGGCGAAAUGGGCCAGGUGAUCCAAGGCCAAGGGACGUCUUGGGAGAUCAGGUGCUCAGCAACCCAGAAAAGCAGAGAAACAAGGCUUUAUAUUCCCUGUUUAUUUACCAAUAGCAGCAGUGCUGGGGCAAAGGAAGUGGAUCAACUUCCUGCAUCCAAGAGCUUGGGCAAAGAUCUGGAGUGUGAAACCUCUUCUUGUGACUACUGCAAGUCCUUAGCAGUGUUUCUAACAGUACUUUUCACACUUUCCCACCAUAAGAUCCCCACAUGCUCAGAGGAUUCCCCGGGGACCAGUGAUGUGACUAAGAAGACAUAAACUAGUUCUGAAUAAGGCAGAUUCCCUGCCAAUCCCCCAGUAUACUCAUAACACCAAAUGAAUCCUGGGAAGCUCAGUAAUGCCAUAAUCUUUUUACACCUUUGGCCCUCAGAGUGCAUUGCAACUGUUAAGACCAUCAGCAUCCCAGUAAUUAAGCAUUAACUGGGGAAACAGAGGCAAGACAGAACGACUUGCAGUAAUUCCUCUUGAGAUUAAUGAACCACUCUUUCAAAGCAAUCCAUUUUCUCAGAAAGAAGGCAUCAGCACAGGAGAGGGUUAAUGAAAUACAAUGUGGUGCGGUGCUGUGCUGCACCAUUUUUCCAUUUUGUACUGGGGCGAUACAAGGUUUAUAUUUUGUUCCCAGAAAGCUCAAAUUAUCUCAGCAGGCUAUGCAGGUUGUGUCUGACCCUGUGUUGGUUAUUGUGGGAGCAGCUCCAGUUGUAUGUUUGUGUUGCUGAAAUGAAAUAUUUACUGAAUUGACAUUGCCUGAAAUCUCUACUGUAUUGACAUGGUAAAUAUCAACAUGAGGACAUGAUGACCACUGAAAAGAACAAGUUUGUUUUUAUGCUAUACUAUACUAUGCUGUUCUGUCCUACCAUACUCCAUCCUAUUCCUAUACUUCUUAUGCUUCUGAAAGCAUUUGGCUCCUACAAAUGCAUCAAUAGGAAUAAUAGAAAACAGGAAUGGACUCUCAAGAAGCCACCUAGUACAUACUCCUCUCUUUUAAGAAAAGUUAACUAUCUUACUUCAUCCUUUCUGACACUGCUGACCCCACUGCAAGAAAUGAAAUACUGAGGUCAGCCAGUGUGCAAUGGAAGCCCUUGGAGCUCUAUGGCAAAGUAAGCUCAGUUUCUAAUGUUGUCCUCCACUGUCUUUGCUGGUAGUGACAGGAUCUGCAUGCCAAGUCCAGGAUGGGGGCAUGCCCUAGUUUCAGGGUAGGACCAAAAACCUCUUUGGAGCAAAUUGGCUAUGUUCACACAUUGUGCUGAGGCCUCACCUUCAGUGCAUUCCCUGCACUUCCCUCCUCUCCCCAUGUCCAGCUUUCCUCACUAAACAAAAUGGUGCAUUUGGGUAUACACCA